rnacentral:rRNA from 1 species
CAGGAAACCCCUGAGAGUGUGGUGGAACCAUCUUUAUGUGGUUCUUACACUGAAUCUGAGUCGGUGUGCAUGAUGCAUCAUCAGAGGCCAAAGAAGAUGGUGGCUUUUGAAGGUUCUUUGACUGUGAGGCGUUUCCUGGGUUGUCCUGUGCAGCAGGAUGUAGGUGUGAACUGUGGGGUUGUGGAGUGGGUGGAUGGUCCUUGGCCAGAGAUUCUACAAAGGUGCCUAACCAGGAUUUGGGACAUGUACCAUGAGCAGAACUUGGGGAGGGUGGAUGAAAAACAAGCCCAUGAGAAAGAGGUGGCCAAGCUACAGAAGGAAAUUGAUUUCCUGUCAAACAACUACAGU